UGUUACAGUUAUUGCCUUUGCGGUUUCUGAGUCCAAGAAAAACAAGCAGAUAUGGAACCUUAAGAAGUCCGUUGAGCUUAGGACUUCUACAAUUGGAACUGUGUUAAGCUGAGAUAUUGUGAUGGAGCUUCAUUCAUUGGAGACGCUAUCUUUGAUAAUAGGGUGCAACAUGUUACACAGUGUAGCAAAACAGAAUGCAUCAACUUCAAAGUUCAGAUACCAUUGCACUUUGAAGCUCUCAUUUCUCAUCCAGAUACUAAUCACAAUAAACUCAAGUACACUAGUUUCUCUCUCUCUCCCUCUCUC